UGGGGAAUUUUCCGCAAUGGGCGAAAGCCUGACGGAGCAACGCCGCGUGAGGGAUGAAGGCCUCUGGGCUGUAAACCUCUUUUCUCAAGGAAGAAGACCUGACGGUACUUGAGGAAUAAGCCACGGCUAAUUCCGUGCCAGCAGCCGCGGUAAUACGGGAGUGGCAAGCGUUAUCCGGAAUUAUUGGGCGUAAAGCGUCCGCAGGUGGCCUUGUAAGUCUGUCGUUAAAGCGUGGAGCUUAACUCCAUUUCAGCGAUGGAAACUACAAGGCUAGAGUGUGGUAGGGGCAGAGGGAAUUCCCGGUGUAGCGGUGAAAUGCGUAGAUAUCGGGAAGAACACCAGUGGCGAAGGCGCUCUGCUGGGCCAUCACUGACACUCAUGGACGAAAGCCAGGGGAGCGAAAGGG
rnacentral:rRNA from 1 species